CUUAGCUCUAGCUAGCCAG
rnacentral:misc_RNA from 1 species